rnacentral:sRNA from 1 species
UUACAAAUAUAUUAGCUUCGUCUCCUAUUUUUUUAUUGUCCUUAUCUUGCAAA